AAAAAAAAGAAGGAAAAAGGAUUCAACUUUCUCCCCAGCCAUUUUGGGUUAUGUCAUACAUAGGAUAUUUAAAGGAACCUCACUCGUCUCAAGUUUGGCCGAGACACCAAAACAAUAAGGUCACACUUCAAAGUUACGGGCAAGUCCACCAAUACAGGAUUUGCAAAAGAAGAUUAUAGAAAACCAAUUUUCAUGCCGGGCGCGCUGGCUGACGCCUGUAAUCCCAGCACUUUGGGAGGCCGAGGCAGGUGGAUCACGAGGUCAGGAGAUCGAGACCAUCCUGGCCAACAUGGUAAAACUCCAUCUCUACUAAAAAUACAAAAAUGAGCUGGAUGUGGUGGUACGUGCUUGUAAUUCCAGGUACUUGGGAGGCUGAGGUAGGAGAAUCACUUGAACCCAGGAGGCAGAGAUUGCAGUGAGCCAAGAUAGUGUCACUGCACUCCAACCUGGCGACAGAGCAAGACUCCAUCUCAAAAAAAAAAAAAAAAAAGAAAAGAAAACCAGUUUUCAAUCUUCAUUCACUACCCAUCCGCAGCCUGCAAAAGAUGUUGAAGAGAUUGAAAAAAAAAAAGACUCAAGGUUUUAGAAAAAGCUAUUGCUGAACUGAGUCACUGAGUCAUUGCCUCCAACCUCAUCCUAAGGGGUACAUGCCCCUCACCUCACACUAAUAAAACGAAUUUUACUGGGAUCACAUAGUAGAAUAUGUGUUUCUUCGUCUUUGAGAGGCACAGUGGGCUGAAGUCUGAGUUGUCUGGGAUGUGUAAAGGGUUAAGGGUUAAUGCAGGCAUCCUGUGGGGUAGAGAAGAGGUUGCGAUUUGGGAUAUAGCAGCACUUGCAACAAUGGGUCAAAUGAACAUAUUUUCUCUAAUCUAAGUAUGAUACAAACAUGCAAGAGCUCUGGAGAAGCAUUGCCUUGGAUCCUGUUCAAGAAAGCUGCCUGGAAAGUAAGUGGACUUCAGCAGAAGGAAGGUGGAGGCGUAGCACCAGAUGCCUAGAGUCUCGAGAAAGAAUUGU
rnacentral:lncRNA from 10 species